GGGGGUGACCUGGUUUCGACGCGGGUCGCGAAACUCCGAGUGCAUGCCGAGGGACAGACCACCUCGUAAAUCCAACUGUAAAACUCAUAGUUGCCAACGACGACAACUACGCUUUAGCUGCUUAAAAACCAGUUUGAAGCCUUCUGCCCGGAUCGUGCCUAUGCGUCCGGAUCACAGGAGUCACCGACAUAGGACCGCGGUGCGGGCAUGUUCAGGGCUCAAUCCGUUAAAUCCUUACUGAACUGGCUGUGAGUUUUCCCUGCCCGUCGGGUAGCCCACAGUGAGAUUAAAGACGGAAUAAGCAUGUAGAGCUCGUAGCGUAGGGCUUGCGGACGUGGGUUCGAUUCCCACCACCUCCACCA
rnacentral:tmRNA from 1 species